GGCUGGGCCAGAACCCAGGGCUCCUCAUGGCCUGGUCCGGGCCUUUCCUCCCACGGGUGGAGCAGUAGGAGAACCCUGAGCUCCAGAGUGAAUCUGGCCAGGGUUCGAAUCCGUAUGGCUCUCUUACCGUGGGCAAGUCACGGUUCCUCUCUGGCCCUCAGUUUCGUCUUCUAAAAUGGACAUACACGCUUGUACUGCGGGGUAAACCGAGGUGGUGAAUGUAAAGCCCUUAGUAGGUGCACAGUCCAUGUUUGUUGUACGAAUUCUAAGAGAAGCGAGAAAUGAAUAUGAGAAACAUUUUUAAAAUGGUGACAACACAUUUAGAUUAAUAAUUAUAUUUU
rnacentral:lncRNA from 1 species